GGGCGAUUAGCUCAGCUGGAAGAGCGCCUCGUUUACACCGAGGAUGUCGGAGGUUCGAGUCCUUCAUCGCCCACCA
rnacentral:tRNA from 3 species